rnacentral:rRNA from 1 species
AAUAUUGGACAAUGGGCGAAAGCCUGACCCAGCCAUGCCGCGUGUGUGAAGAAGGUCUUCGGAUUGUAAAGCACUUCAAGUUGGGAGGAAGGGUUGUAGGUUAAUACCCUGCAAUUUUCACGUUACCAACAGAAUAAGCACCGGAUCACUUCGUGCCAGCCGCCGCGGUAAUACGACGGGCGCAAGCGUUAAUCGGAAUUACUGGGCUUAAAGCGCGCGUAGGUGGUUCGUUAAGUUGGAAGUGAAAGCCCCGGGCUUAACCUGGGAAUUGCUUUCAAAACUGACGAGCUAGAGUACGGUAGAGGGUAGUGGAAUUUCCUGUGUAGCGGUGAAAUGCGUAGAUAUAGGAAGGAACAUCAGUGGCGAAGGCGACUACCUGGACUGAUACUGACACUGAGGUGCGAAAGCGUGGGGAGCAAACAGG